UGAAGAGAGGAGCUUGCUCUUCUUGGAUGAGUUGCGAACGGGUGAGUAACGCGUAGGUAACCUGCCUUGUAGCGGGGGAUAACUAUUGGAAACGAUAGCUAAUACCGCAUAACAAUGGAUGACACAUGUCAUUUAUUUGAAAGGGGCAAUUGCUCCACUACAAGAUGGACCUGCGUUGUAUUAGCUAGUAGGUGAGGUAAUGGCUCACCUAGGCGACGAUACAUAGCCGACCUGAGAGGGUGAUCGGCCACACUGGGACUGAGACACGGCCCAGACUCCUACGGGAGGCAGCAGUAGGGAAUCUUCGGCAAUGGGGGCAACCCUGACCGAGCAACGCCGCGUGAGUGAAGAAGGUUUUCGGAUCGUAAAGCUCUGUUGUAAGUCAAGAACGGGUGUGAGAGUGGAAAGUUCACACUGUGACGGUAGCUUACCAGAAAGGGACGGCUAACUACGUGCCAGCAGCCGCGGUAAUACGUAGGUCCCGAGCGUUGUCCGGAUUUAUUGGGCGUAAAGCGAGCGCAGGCGGUUUGAUAAGUCUGAAGUUAAAGGCUGUGGCUCAACCAUAGUUCGCUUUGGAAACUGUCAAACUUGAGUGCAGAAGGGGAGAGUGGAAUUCCAUGUGUAGCGGUGAAAUGCGUAGAUAUAUGGAGGAACACCGGUGGCGAAAGCGGCUCUCUGGUCUGUAACUGACGCUGAGGCUCGAAAGCGUGGGGAGCGAACAGGAUUAGAUACCCUGGUAGUCCACGCCGUAAACGAUGAGUGCUAGGUGUUGGAUCCUUUCCGGGAUUCAGUGCCGCAGCUAACGCAUUAAGCACUCCGCCUGGGGAGUACGACCGCAAGGUUGAAACUCAAAGGAAUUGACGGGGGCCCGCACAAGCGGUGGAGCAUGUGGUUUAAUUCGAAGCAACGCGAAGAACCUUACCAGGUCUUGACAUCCCGAUGCUAUUUCUAGAGAUAGAAAGUUACUUCGGUACAUCGGUGACAGGUGGUGCAUGGUUGUCGUCAGCUCGUGUCGUGAGAUGUUGGGUUAAGUCCCGCAACGAGCGCAACCCCUAUUGUUAGUUGCCAUCAUUCAGUUGGGCACUCUAGCGAGACUGCCGGUAAUAAACCGGAGGAAGGUGGGGAUGACGUCAAAUCAUCAUGCCCCUUAUGACCUGGGCUACACACGUGCUACAAUGGUUGGUACAACGAGUUGCGAGUCGGUGACGGCGAGCUAAUCUCUUAAAGCCAAUCUCAGUUCGGAUUGUAGGCUGCAACUCGCCUACAUGAAGUCGGAAUCGCUAGUAAUCGCGGAUCAGCACGCCGCGGUGAAUACGUUCCCGGGCCUUGUACACACCGCCCGUCACACCACGAGAGUUUGUAACACCCGAAGUCGGUGAGGUAACCUUUUGAGCCAGCCGCCUAAGUGAACAG
rnacentral:rRNA from 1 species